AAGUCGUAACAAGGUUUCCGUAGGUGAACCUGCGGAAGGAUCAUUAGUGAAAAGAUUAAUUCUUUACACAUUAAACUCUAACGUGAACCUUAACACCAGGCAUGUUCCAGAGAUAAGUCUCCUUGCAAAAGGAAGGUAUUUCUGGCCCCUAUCUGUAGAGUCGCACAUGUUCAUUGACCCCCACUGCCUAAUUUGAAGCAUUAGUGAAGCCGAGGCUUUGGGACUUUGAAAUGUGUUUAAGCUCUUAGAUUUGGGUAUCCUGACGCCGUAAGUUGGAUGAGAACCUUGGUUCUCUUAAAGUCCUUCUUUACUUUCAGGUUAGGUGUGCUGUAUUGCUAUAUAAACUUGUGAGUGAAGCUUAACCGUAUUUUUGAUUGCCUAACAUACAACAUUAGUAAUAAUGAAAUACAACCUUUAACAAUGGAUCUCUUGGCUCCU
rnacentral:misc_RNA from 1 species